CCCUUAGAUGUUCUGGGCUGCACGCGCGCUACACUGAUGCGAUCAACAAGUUUUUCCUAUGUCGAUAGACACGGGUAAUCUUUUGAACUCGCAUCGUGAUGGGGAUAGAUUAUUGUAAUUAUUAAUCUUCAACGAGGAAUUCCUAGUAGGUGCAAAUCAUCAGUUUGCAUCGAUUACGUCCCUGCCCUUUGUACACACCGCCCGUCGCUGCUACCGAUUGGUUGAUCUGGUGAAUUAUUCGGACUGCCAGCUGAAGGGGUUUCCUCAUCUGCCAGCGGAAAGUCUUGUUAACCCUAUCAACUAGAGGAAGCAGAAGUCGUAACA
rnacentral:rRNA from 1 species